rnacentral:rRNA from 1 species
CGAAAGCCUGACGGAGCAAGACCGCGUGAGGGAGGAAGGCUCUUGGGUUGUAAACCUCUUUUCUCAGGGAAGAAGCUCUGACGGUACCUGAGGAAUCAGCCUCGGCUAACUCCGUGCCAGCAGCCGCGGUAAUACGGAGGAGGCAAGCGUUAUCCGGAAUUAUUGGGCGUAAAGCGUCCGCAGGUGGCGAUUCAAGUCUGCUGUCAAAGCACGGGGCUUAACUCCGUUAAGGCAGUGGAAACUGACCCACUCGAGGGUGGUAGGGGUAGAGGGAAUUCCCAGUGUAGCGGUGAAAUGCGUAGAUAUCGGGAAGAACACCAGUGGCGAAGGCGCUCUACUGGGCCGCGACUGACGCUGAGGGACGAAAGCUAGGGGAGCG